GACUAGAGGAACAUAGACUCUCACUUAAAUACUACCACACGAAAGAACAUCAUGUUCACCUCUGCAUAUGCAGCUCUCCUGGUUUCCGCUUCGUUGCUACUAGUGCAAGGGGAUGCGGUCUCAACCGUUUGCCUGGAUGAACAGGGUCAAACAUACCAGGACCAGGAGAGUUGGCAGCCACACCCAUGUAUGUCCUGUAAGUGUGAUAAUGGAAACCCAAAUUGUGUUCUGAGCUUUUGUGCCCCCCUGCUCAACUGCCCCCAUCCAGGGGUCGUCCCACAAAACCAAUGCUGCCCUGUCUGCCCAGAGAUGCAAUGAUAUUCAGAUGUUCCUCCUCCUGGCCCCCAACAACAGGUACAGCGUGUAGUCACGCCGUGACGGAGUGAGGAGGGUCCAGUUUGGACAAGGCCCCAAG
ensembl:lncRNA